rnacentral:rRNA from 1 species
AUGGAUCCACCUGCGGUCGCCCUCUCAGGAACCAGUGUUGGUGGCGGCUCAUCCGGGGCGCUGGAUCUUGGUGAUGUGCUGGAACAACUCAACUUGGAAGACGAAGAAUUUGAUGAUCUGGUGAUAGAUGAAGCCGAUCUAGAGAUCAAUGAAAGUGUGAGAUGGCUUGCGUUGGCUAGGGUUUGCACGGACAAGACCUUCAGCCAGUCGGCUUUCUACAAAGAUAUGCGUGCAGCAUGGAAUCCUGCGCUGCCGGUGAGGUUCCGCCCGGUAGGUCCGAAGCUCUUUGUCGUGCAGGCGUCAUGCUUGGGAGACUGGGAAUGGAUGAUGGAUCAAGGGCCAUGGCUCUUCAGGAAUCUACUUGUGCUGAUGGUUCCAUAUGAUGGCUUCACAAAAGCAGAAGAGGUGCCGAUGGUGUUCAUGCCGAUUUGGCUCCAAAUUCAUAAGAUUCCGGAGGCAUUCUGUAAGAAAAACAUUGUGGAAAAUCUGCUUCGGAAUUCAGGAGAGAUUGUAGAGAUGAGGCUCAAUGGUAAUACUCGUGGUGAUUACAUUAGGGUUAGGGUUCGGCAUGAUGUACGCCGACCUCUUACCAAGUUUGUCAGUGUCAUGAGGGGGAAAGAACGCAAGAUUUAUUUGGUGAGAUAUGAAAAAUUGGCACGCUUUUGCAGUGUAUGUGGGCUGAUUGGACACGACUGCAAGGAGUGCGGAUCCGGUGUGCAUGAGGAGAAGGAUAAGAAGUAUGGCGCUUGGCUCUAUGCGGACGGCCUGAAU